CACGUGAGUAGCCCACUGAGGCCUGCUCAGAGAGGUAGAUCUGGAUAUGCUGUUAGGGCCAACUGUGGGAGUCUGGUAAGAGAGCAUGAUGUUGGGAUCCCAGCCACAGAUACUUUUGUCCAGGUUGUCCCAUGAGCUACUCUCCAGGCUGAGAGAAGCCUCAAGUGAUCCCAGAUGUCCUCCCUGGAGUCUGCCGUGGCAGGCCACCUCUGCUGACUGAGUUCUUUGAACAAGAAGGACCUCCAUGCAAGGUCUGCUGGUCUCUUCUGACCCUAACACUAGGACCAUGUCACUCCAAAGGAAGCCACUAGGACCUACUCACUCCAAAGGAAGCCAUGGGCGGGAGGUUCUGUGGUCCCAGGAGUGACUGUCAUCUGAUCUCUGUGGGGCCCCGUGUCCUAAACCUGACUCAACAGCGUCUGUCUGUGGGAUGCACUGUUUAUGUCUGAGUCUAAGAUACUCUGCUCUGCCAAAAGCAAGGAUAUCUGCACCUCCCAACACACUGGAGCUGUGCCUAGGCCUGUACGCAGCUCACUCUUUUAACCCAGAACAAGCUCAUGGGAAAGGCAUGAGAACAAAUACAGCCUCAAGUCUCGGGGGCUAACAGGUGCUGAUACAAGUCAACACAGGAUCAAACUCCAGCCCCGAGUGUGAACUGCGCCUGAACCUUUCUGAAGAAUAAAGACUGUUCAGCAAUCAUC